rfam:Hordeum vulgare subsp. vulgare, WGS project CAJW01000000 data, contig: morex_contig_38779
CAAAUACUCCCUCCGUCCGGAAAUACUUGUCCUAGAAAUGUACAAAAUGAAUGUAUAAGUCUAGAUGUAUCUAGACUUAAUAAGUCUAGAUACAUCUAGACUUAUACAUUCAUUUUGUACAUUUCUAGGACAAGUAUUCCCGGACGGAGGGAGUAGAUA